CAGUCUGCAACUCGAGUGCAUGAAGCUGGAAUCGCUAGUAAUCGCGGAUCAGAAUGCCGCGGUGAAUACGUUCCCGGGUCUUGUACACACCGCCCGUCACACCAUGGGAGUCGGGAAUGCCCGAAGCCGGUGGCCCAAUCGAGAGAAGGGAGCCGUCGAAGGCAGGCCGGAUGACUGGGGUGAAGUCGUAACAAGGUACC
rnacentral:rRNA from 1 species